UACGGGGGGAGCAAGCGUUGUUCGGAUUUACUGGGCGUAAAGGGCGCGUAGGCGGUCAGCACAAGUCAGUUGUGAAAUCUCCGGGCUUAACUCGGAAAGGUCAACUGAUACUGUGCGACUAGAGUGCGGAAGGGGCAACUGGAAUUCUCGGUGUAGCGGUGAAAUGCGUAGAUAUCGAGAGGAACACCUGCGGCGAAGGCGGCCUUCUGGACAGCAACUGACGCUGAGACGCGAAAGCGUGGGGAGCAAACAGG
rnacentral:rRNA from 1 species